GCUCUGCGCUGGCACAGGGGAGCAUCUCCCGGAGCAGCGGGCGGCUCCUCCAGCGGGAAACAAAACACUUGAAGGCAACAAAGGAGACUGUCCCCUGGGAGUCACCCCGGUCCGAGGCACAGCAGGAACAUGGAGGGAACUGACGGCAUUUCAUCGCAUCGGUUUUUCAUCCCAGCGAAAUUUUUUGGAGGUGUUUGGCUGUGGGAGAUUUUUAAACUCCCCAGGAUUUAAUGCUGCCCGGAGCCAUCGCCAUGCACCGCGGGGCAGUGACAGUGCCACAGCCAGCAGCGACAGCUCUCCGAGCUCCUUCCAUCACUUCUGCGGGCGCAUCGGGAUGGUGGCAGGCUCCAGAAAUCCUGGCUGGCUCUUCUCCCUCCUUGGCCCCAGCUGGCACUGGGUGCUCUGGAGAACAGAGGUGUUUUUCAAGGCUCAGGACAUUGUACAGGAUGGGAAAAAGUCUUUUGUGCACUUCCCUCCCUGAUGGGUAUCUCGGAAAGCAUUACAAGGGAAAGGUUCGACAAUGGUUAUGGGAGAAGGGAAUAAACUCUGUAUAGCUCAUAAUGGCAGCCUUUAACAGAAACCAGCCACACUUCAUUCAAACCUUUGUCUCUACACUCACUUCAAUUCAAUAAACUCUAACAGCUGGAGCUGGAGCUCCUGUAUUGGAGGACUUUCCAAGUCACAAGUAUAAAUCCCCUUGAAAAAUAGCAAAUGCUUGCUCUUGGGGCCUGAAAUCUGUGAAGCGCUGACUGAAUUCUAAUAAAUAUUCUGCUAAUAAAUAUUCUGUGAUCUUCAAGUAUUUGCUCAAGUGCAGGAGCACUUGCCUAUAUUUUUUCUUCACUGACUUUCUUCUUGAAUGGUUUCACUUCUCUCUCAGCUGUAAAUCAAAUGCAAAUUUUCUUUGGCAUUGUACUUCAGUUCGAGUUAACCAAAGAAACCUGAUCAGAAUCACCUGAGGAAGCCAAAUUAAACAGUUGUUCUGUAUACCUUGGCUAAGAUGAGCUCUCCUCCUGUUGAUUCUUAAUUUCAUCUGCUCCUUUCAAUGAAAAAUCACGGGAGGGCUGGCACCUGCUCAGUUAUCAAAAAUGCCACUAUGGUGUAUUCCACUUUUGCUGCUCCUUCUGGUUCUUCAGCCUCCCUUAGCAAGGCUCAGCCAAGAGGGUGCCAAGCACUCCUAUCCCUGCUCCUGCCCCACUCCUUUAAUUCAGACUGGGAGAUAGCAAAGACCCCAAGCCCAGAUCUUCUCAGCAAAAUGAUGUUUGGGACCACCUUGUUUCUUUCCCCUGCAGUGCUCAGAAGCAGAAUCUCCCCUGCCCCAUUUGCCCCUACACACAAUCACAGAAUCACAGAAUAAUGAGGUUGGAAGAGACCUCUAAGACCAUUGAGUCCAA